AACGCGAAGAACCUUACCCAGGCUUGACAUGCAGUGGACAGUGGUGGAAACACCAUCUCUCUUCGGAGCCGCUGCACAGGUGCUGCAUGGCUGUCGUCAGCUCGUGUCGUGAGAUGUUGGGUUAAGUCCCGCAACGAGCGCAACCCUUAUCCCUAGUUGCCAUCGGGUCAAGCCGGGCACUCUAGUGAAACCGCCCAGGAUAACUGGGAGGAAGGUGGGGAUGACGUCAAGUCCUCAUGGCCUUUAUGUCCAGGGCUACACACGUGCUACAAUGGUCGGUACAAACCGUCGCAAACCCGCGAGGGGGAGCUAAUCGGAAAAAGCCGGCCUCAGUUCGGAUUGGAGUCUGCAACCCGACUCCAUGAAGCUGGAAUCGCUAGUAAUCGCGGAUCAGAACGCCGCGGUGAAUACGUUCCCGGGCCUUGUACACACCGAUAGC
rnacentral:rRNA from 1 species